GAUGAACGCUGGCGGCGUGCCUAAUACAUGCAAGUCGAGCGAACAGACGAGGAGCUUGCUCCUCUGACGUUAGCGGCGGACGGGUGAGUAACACGUGGAUAACCUACCUAUAAGACUGGGAUAACUUCGGGAAACCGGAGCUAAUACCGGAUAAUAUAUUGAACCGCAUGGUUCAAUAGUGAAAGACGGUUUUGCUGUCACUUAUAGAUGGUUCCGCGCCGCCUUAGCUAGUUGGUAAGGUAACGGCUUACCAAGGCAACGAUGCGUAGCCGACCUGAGAGGGUGAUCGGCCACACUGGAACUGAGACACGGUCCAGACUCCUACGGGAGGCAGCAGUAGGGAAUCUUCCGCAAUGGGCGAAAGCCUGACGGAGCAACGCCGCGUGAGUGAUGAAGGUCUUCGGAUCGUAAAACUCUGUUAUUAGGGAAGAACAAAUGUGUAAGUAACUAUGCACGUCUUGACGGUACCUAAUCAGAAAGCCACGGCUAACUACGUG
rnacentral:rRNA from 1 species